rnacentral:rRNA from 1 species
UGAGGAAUAUUGGACAAUGGACGAAAGUCUGAUCCAGCCACGCCGCGUGCAGGAUGAAGUCCCUUUGGGAUGUAAACUGCUUUUGUACAGGAAUAAAAAAUCGGUCGCCGAUAUUGAAGGUACUGUAAGAAUAAGCACCGGCUAACUACGUGCCAGCAGCCGCGGUAAUACGUAGGGUGCAAGCGUUGUCCGGAAUCAUUGGGUGUAAAGGGUGCGUAGGUGGGAUGGUAAGUCAGAGGUGAAAGCCCGCAGCUUAACUGCGGAACUGCCUUUGAUACUGCCGUUCUUGAGUCCCGGAGAGGUCACUGGAAUUCGUGGUGUAGCGGUGAAAUGCGUAGAUAUCACGAGGAAUACCAGAAGCGUAGGCGAGUGACUGGACGGGUACUGACACUGAGGCACG